rnacentral:tRNA from 2 species
GGCAACAUGCCCGAGUGGUUAAGGGGACAGACUUGAACUAAACCGGCCUCCCCGCCGGCGUAUUCUAAGGUAUCUGUUGGCUUCGGCCGCGUAGGUUCGAACCCUGCUGUUGUCG